rnacentral:rRNA from 1 species
AGGAUGAACGCUGGCGGCGUGCCUAACACAUGCAAGUCGAACGUCCUGUCUCGCAAGAGGCAGGGAGUGGCGGACGGGUGAGUACCACGUGGGUUAUCUACCGUGAGGUGAGGAAUACCGGCGAGAAAUCGCCGACAAAACCGCAUAGGCUCGAUGCAAGUCGAGCAAAGCUUUCUCGCAAGAGGGAGCGCCACACGAGGAGCCUGCGCCCGAUUAGCUGGCUGGUGGAGUAAUGGUUCACCAGGGCGACGAUCGGUAGCUGGUCUGAGAGGACGAUCAGCCACACUGGGAUUGAGAACGGCCCAGACUCCUACGGGGGGCAGCAGUGAGGAAUUUUCGUCAAUGGGGCAACCCUGAACGAGCAACGCCGCGUGCAGGAAGAAGGUUUUCGGAUCGUAAACUGCUUUUCGUCGGGGAAGAGAACGGACGGUACCCGAGGAACGAAGCCCCGGCUAACUACGCGCCAGCAGCCGCGGUAA